GGGCGAGGGCGAGGGCAGGAGGAAGGGGCAGGGGAGGCGGCAAGCAACCCAGCAGAAGGGGACUCGCCAGGUCAGUCAAAGGCCAGGGCGUUACCAAGGCUGCCCUCCACUCUGCCGUGUGGCCAUUAGCGCACAGUGAUUAAAGAAGCGCGCCCAGUGAGUUUACAAGAGCGCUUGCCACGGCACUCGCGCGUGGACACGACCAGUGGUCACGUUUCGAUCUGUCAGGAAAGCAUCCUCUACCGAGCCUCACGCUCCAGCAACACGCGGAGUCCGCCUGCCUACCAGUCACUGGAUCUGCUAAUUCUGUCUUCCUGACUGAAUCAAGGUUCUUUCUCACGCAGGUUGCCCCAGCUUCUCUCAGUACCAGGGAUCAAACUCAGGACCUGGUGCUUGCCAGGUAGACGCUGCGCUGCUGAGCUACAUCUCCGGCAGUCAUUUGUUUUUCUGACAGCUACCUUUUCUAGCUCUUCUACCUCCGGACCAAGCUAUGUGGUUGUUUCUGGCAAGUGGAUGUAGACAAAAGUAGCUCAUCCAAUAGAAUGGCAUAUUUGCUUGCAAAGGUCUCACUCAGGCCAGGCAUUACACAGUGGAGACCCCAGAAGUUUGGAGAAGAUAGGAGCAUGGAUCGUCUGAGGAAAGCUACAAGGAAGGUUCAGAGCUGGCCCAAAAGAAAAACCAUGGGAGCUACAACUCUCUGCAGUGCUACAGGGGCAGAGCCACCCAAGCCCUUUGGCAUUCACAACUUGCCACAGAUUGCCUUGGAUACUGCACAUGGAACUACAGGACUUAAUAUUUGCCCUGCUGGAUUUUGGACUUGCUUUGGUUCUGUUCUUUGUUUCUCCCUGUUUGUACCUUUUGGAAUGAGAAUGUCUAUCUUAUGCCAUUGAAUGUUGGAAGGAUUUAACUUUCUUUUCAUUUGUGCAGGGGCUCACAGCUAAGAGUUUGACUUAAAUCUCAGAGGAGACUUGGGACUUGAACUUUUCAGCAAUGCUGAAACUGUUAGGACUUUGACAACUCUUAAAGUUGGACUAAAUGCCUUUUGUAUAAAGGGAUAUGCAUAUGCAUGAGUCUUUGAGGGGCCAGGGGUGAAAUGUUAUGGUUUGUGUCUAGAUGUCCCCCUAUAACCUGACCUUGUGGAAGUUUUGAAAAACUAGGUAGAGCCAUCAAUUGGCUCAACACUCUUCUCCCUAAGGAGAUAGUGGUCCCUUGUAUGGAAAGAGAAAGUCCUCAGUAGGGCUUUCUUUAAUGCUUCUAUGAAAGAUGAUGGCAUCAUCUUAGCUUCAGACAGAGACAUCUGUCCAGUGAAUAUGCAAGUCUCACAAGGGACAUUUUGUGUGCUCAUUGAGUCUCCUCCUUCUGCAUGGGAUACCAUUUUAAAGACCUGAAAUCUACUUGUCUCUCUGUAUAGGACCCAAGAUGAGCCAUGGUAAACCUCACAAACUAUAACUUGUAGAUUCCACAGACUUCACUACUAGGCCUUAUCUUGAUCAAUGGGAAAGCUUUGACCCUGCCAAUUUAAAAAGGAGCAGAUAAUGCUAUUAUUGCAAUAUGCUUUGUGUUCAGUAUAAACUAGGAAAUGGCAAAAGAUGGGUACAAGAUGGCAGCUGCAGCUAUGCUAACAUAGGAAGUCUUUAGGACAGAAACUAGAAGUCUUGACUCCCCAUCAGGUAAGAGUGAUUCUUGAGACCAAAAUUUGGUUGUGGUUAACAGGGGAAUGGCUUCCCAAGUAUCAGGCCAUACCCUUAGGCAUCUCUGAGGUUAUUAUAAAAUUUUCACUACUCCUAAUGUUGCCCCUCUGAUGCUUACAGGCCCAGAAAUUAGCCACUUUGUAAACAAGUGAUCUCCCAGACCUAGCAAGCAGGCAGGACAUCAGUGACCUGCCCCUGCAAGACCCCAAAGAGGUGUGGUUCACUGAUGAAAGUAGCUUUAUUCAAAAAGGACAUCAAAGGGAAGUUCCAUUUAUAGCAGUUCAUUGGAACCAACUUCCCCUAGCUCUUAUUGAUACUAGGAAAAGUCAAGAUGCUUUAUAUUUAUACAGACUCCAAAUAUGUUUUUCUGGUGUUACAUGGCUAUGCAGCAAUCUAUAAAGAAGAAGAUUGCUAACUAAUAAGAAAUCAUCUACACAACACAAACAGGAAGUUCUAUAACUCUUACAGGUAGUCUCUUCCCAAGCAGGUAGCUGUCAUUCAUUCCAAGGAAUUCUAAAGGGACAUGGACAAAUUCUACUUGAAAAAUCAAAAGACUGAUAGGGAGGCAAGAAGAGCAGUCCUAUAGCCACUCAAGAGCCUAGCCUUAUUCCAAGUUCCUUAGGGACCAUUCUGGUCCUCCUCAAGAGACAUAGUGACAAGCUAUAAAAAUCUUACAUGGGAAAUGAUACUAGAAAUUUCACUGGAAAAAGAAAAAUGCUAUCCCUGAGAACGUCUGGAAGACCUGAAGCUCCUGUUCAGAAAGCAAGACUCUAGUAUUUCUCUGGGUGAAGAUAAGUACAGUUGCUAAUGACCCUAAUUCACCACACAUUAAAUGAACCCCCGUAGUGAGACUCCUGGGUUUAAAAAAAUUUUUAUUAGUAUAUAGUUGUCAUACAUAUUGAUCGCAUUCAUCAUAAGGAAUUUCUACCUGUACAUAAUGUAUCUUAAUUCUUCUUUUUUUUCCCCAUUCCUCUUCCGUCCCUUUAACUCUUCUUCCCUUCUGUAUUUAUAAAAGCUUUGUUUCUAUUUUUUCCCUUCCUCUCUCUUUCUUUUUUCCUUUUCCCUUUCUUCUCUUCCCCCACCUCCUCCCUUGUUCUCUUCCUCAUUUGAACAUGUUCUUCCUACUUCCCAAUAUCCAUCCUCAAUUAUGCUCCUUAUUUAUGAGUUUUAAUUAGAUCCAUUAUGUGGGUAUCUUUAUAAGGCUAUGGCUCUCAGCCUCUUGAUAAUUUAUCCUCCCUCUUUGCUAUACUUUGUCCUUUACAAAAAGCCUGCACAUCUGACCCACUUCUCAUAUUUGGAUUCUACAUCCCCAACAUGAUAGUAAAGUUACUUACCUUCUCCCAUCAGACAGCUCAAUAGUAAGCCCUUUUCCCAUUGUCUUCUGACAUUGUUUCACUCCAAACAAGCCUGUGAGCCACAACACCCCAAGCUAGUUGGAGAGGACAUAAUCCCCAGUCCCUCAGCACCCCAUAAAGAAUUUUGGAAAUACGUGUCUCUUGGGGAAAAUUAGAGGAAGGUAAGGCAUGGCUAAACCUAGUUGGAAAAGGAGGCAUAACAAGAUCCCAGAACCCAAUCACAGAAUAGUUCCCAAAGCCCUUCAUGUGAACUUCUCACAAGAGAGGUCUUCAAUAUGAUGGCCUAGACCUGACAUGAGCCUGAGGAGUGGGUAAUACAAAAAGGAGAAUCACCAUUGAGUUUUUGUUGCUGUAUUCACUCUUGCAUAGUGGCCCACCCUCACACUGAAAAAUGUACUUCUUUUCCCACUUUUACUUGGCCCAAACUGUCUCUAAACAGCCUGUUUCUUUUCC
rnacentral:lncRNA from 1 species